UACGAAGGGGGCGAGCGUUGUUCGGAUUUACUGGGCGUAAAGGGCGCGCAGGCGGUCUUGAAAGUCAGGCGUGAAAGCCCCGGGCUUAACCUGGGAAUUGCGCUUGAUACUCUGAGACUGGAGUACGGGAGAGGAGAGUGGAAUUCCCAGUGUAGAGGUGAAAUUCGUAGAUAUUGGGAAGAACACCGGUGGCGAAGGCGGCGACCUGGUCCUUUACUGACGCUGAGGCGCGAAAGCGUGGGGAGCAAACAGG
rnacentral:rRNA from 1 species